rnacentral:rRNA from 1 species
UGGCGGACGGGGUGAGUAAUGUCUGGGAAACUGCCUGAUGGAGGGGGAUAACUACUGGAAACGGUAGCUAAUACCGCAUAACGUCGCAAGACCAAAGAGGGGGACCUUAGGGCCUCUUGCCAUCGGAUGUGCCCAGAUGGGAUUAGCUUGUUGGUGGGGUAACGGCUCACCAAGGCGACGAUCCCUAGCUGGUCUGAGAGGAUGACCAGCCACACUGGGACUGAGACACGGUCCAG